UUCCUGAGAUCUUCUCAUCAAAAGCAUGCCCACUACCAAUCUUGCUCACCUGUGUCCUAUUCCAUUACUUUAUUUCUGAGGAGCUUCUGACAAACCAACUUGUCAACAGGAUCUGCCAGACCAUCAGGGGCUGUAGAGACUGCUACUUCCCCUCAGAACCCAUGCUCCUUUUCUGGCAUAUAGUGGCUCUCAAAAUUUUAAUCCAGAAAAUACAAGCAAUUCUUUAAUUUCUCUUGAUGUCACAUGACACCAUGUAACCAAUUGGAUGUGAGCAGAAACAGCUCAACCACCUCUUGGAUCAUGAGCUUAACGGUAGCAUAGCCUUCUGGGAUAUUUAGUCUUGACUGCCAACUUGACAGGAACCAGAGUCACUUGGGAGACAAGCCAGUGAGAUUAUCUAGAUUAGGUUAAUUGGGGUAGAAAGAUCUAUUCUGUAAGGACACCAUCCCAUGGACUGGUGUGGUGGUUUGAAUGAAAAUAUUUCCUAUAGGUUCAUGUAUUUGAACACUUGAUCCACAUUUGGUGACAUUGUUUGAAGAGGCUUAGAGGAGGUGUGGCCUUGUUGGGCGAAGUGAGCCACUCGAGGUGGGCUUUGAGAGCUUAUAAACUCGUCUCACCCCCAGUUUGCUCUCUCUGCCUGCAUGCUUAUGGGUGUGACUUCUCAUCCUGCUCUAGCCACCAUGCCUCCUGCCAUCAUGGAUGGAUGCACUUGUAUACCUCUGGUACCUGAAGGCCAAAUAAACUCCCUCAAUGUCAUCACAGCAGGAGAAAGGCGCCUGCUGCUUGUGUCUUCACUGCCAUCAAGGACUGUAUCCUCAAACCCUGAGCCCAAAUAAACUCUUCUUAAAGUUGCUUCUGCCAGCUUGUUGUCACAGCAACAAGGCAAGUAACUAACAUGCCUCCAGUUCCUGCCUUCCUUUUCUAUGAUAGACUGCUGAUAUUCCUGGGACUACACCAUUUCUAUAACGUAACCAAUAAAUAAUGUUUUCACUUCCUUUAUAUAUUUUAAUAGUGAUUCUUUGUCUUUUCUUGGAAGUGCCUCCUAGAUGCAAACAAGAUUGAAGACAGUGUUGGGGAUGCAGCCCAGUGGUAGAAUACUGUGUAGAAUGUGAAUCCCUGAGUUUCAGUCCCAGCACUGAACAGAAAAGAAAAAAACCAAAAAAAGCACAAAAGCAAUAAAACAUACAUUUGCCUGUUCCUGUCUCGUGAAUAAUAAAAUACUAUUAUUCAGCACA
rnacentral:sRNA from 1 species